AUUGAACGCUGGCGGCAGGCCUAACACAUGCAAGUCGAGCGGCAGCGGGAAAGUAGCUUGCUACUUCUGCCGGCGAGCGGCGGACGGGUGAGUAAUGCCUGGGAAAUUGCCCAGUCGAGGGGGAUAACAGUUGGAAACGACUGCUAAUACCGCAUACGCCCUACGGGGGAAAGCAGGGGACCUUCGGGCCUUGCGCGAUUGGAUAUGCCCAGGUGGGAUUAGCUAGUUGGUGAGGUAAUGGCUCACCAAGGCGACGAUCCCUAGCUGGUCUGAGAGAAUGAUCAGCCACACUGGAACUGGGACACGGUCCAGACUCCUACGGGAGGCAGCAGUGGGGAAUAUUGCACAAUGGGGGAAACCCUGAUGCAGCCAUGCCGCGUGUGUGAAGAAGGCCUUCGGGUUGUAAAGCACUUUCAGCGAGGAGGAAAGGUUGAUGCCUAAUACGUAUCAACUGUGACGUUACUCGCAGAAGAAGCACCGGCUAACUCCGUGCCAGCCGCCGCCGUAACAC
rnacentral:rRNA from 1 species